rnacentral:ncRNA from 2 species
AAUCAAAAUACUUCAGUAAGGAAAGCAUGGGUGAAAUUCCCACACUGGACCGCAGCCGUAAAGUCGGAAUGCUUAUUGGAGU